rnacentral:rRNA from 1 species
UACGAAGGGGGCUAGCGUUGCUCGGAAUUACUGGGCGUAAAGGGCGCGUAGGCGGGUUAUCAAGUUGGAGGUGAAAGCCCAGGGCUCAACCUUGGAAUUGCCUUCAAAACUGAUAGCCUAGAGUAUGAUAGAGGUAAGUGGAACUCCGAGUGUAGAGGUGAAAUUCGUAGAUAUUCGGAAGAACACCAGUGGCGAAGGCGGCUCUCUGGAACGCAACUGACGCUGAGACGCGAAAGCGUGGGGAGCAAACAGG